UCCGAUUAGUUUGUUGGUGGGGUAAUGGCCUACCAAGGCGACGAUCGGUAGCUGGUCUGAGAGGAUGAUCAGCCACACUGGGACUGAGACACGGCCCAGACUCCUACGGGAGGCAGCAGUGGGGAAUUCUGGACUAUGGGGGCAACCCUGAUCCAUCCAUGCCGCGUGCGGGAAGAAGGCCUUCGGGUUGUAACCGCUUGUAUCGGGAAAGAAGACGCCGGGGUGAUCCCCCGGGCUUGUGACGGGACCGGGGAAGUACGCUCCGGCUGCCCAGCGUGCCGGGGCGGGUGUUAUAGGUGAGGUGCGACGGUCGCCCCCAAGCAGCCGCCUCGAACAGUGACGAAGCGCUG
rnacentral:rRNA from 1 species